UACGUAGGGUGCGAGCGUUGUCCGGAAUUUAUUGGGCGUAAAGAGCUCGUAGGCGGUCUGUCGCGUCGAUCGUGAAAACUUGGGGCUUAACCCUGAGCUUGCGGUCGAUACGGGCAGACUAGAGUCCGGAAGAGGAGAGUGGAAUUCCUGGUGUAGCGGUGAAAUGCGCAGAUAUCAGGAAGAACACCCGUGGCGAAGGCGGCUCUCUGGGACGGUACUGACGCUGAGACGCGAAAGCGUGGGGAGCGAACAGG
rnacentral:rRNA from 1 species